CUGCAUCGAAACAAAGACACCCUGUACAAUUAAAUUAAUUUGGUCAAAUAAUAUAGCUAGAUUAAUUAAUUUAAUUGAUUAAUAACGCUUAAUAACUCACUCCACGUGGGACUGUUAUUCCAUUGCCAUUGAUUAGGUGCACAUAAUAGCGGCCAAUGUAACGGUCCUAGAAGUGGUGCUCGCACACGGCGCUGUUCUCAUCGAGCAGCUUGUCACUACGGUGAAGAUUCCUUUCCCAGAGCUUCUUACGUUCUCCAUCUUUAGGUGCGCUGAAUAGCCAGACCGUCCUUGAGACGCUCACACCGGAGUAUCCAGAGCGAUAACCUGGAGCAUAACAAUGACGGUUCCUCUCGCUCGGCAUGAUUCAAUCAUCAGGCUACAGCAAUCGCACGAACACGUACGUAAUGCCCCCACCACCCAUCACACCACGCGCGUCACCGGAAUGCUUGGGCUUCGUGAAUUGAAGGAAACGUAGCCAAGCUUCUAAGCGGGUGUCAUGACUGUAUCACAAAAAAACACAGAAAAUCUGUUGGGUUCUUGGGUUUCGCUUUUUGCAAGCACACUUCAUCAUGAUGUUCGGAACAUGAACGUGUAGGUGUAGGACCAACUUUUUCCACAAUUGGUCAUGACUGUAUCAGAAAAAAAACACAGAGUAAGUGGCAGAGUUAUGUACUUUUCCUUGUUGUGCAUGAAAUGUUGGAGAAAUCGGUUGGGUUCUUGGGGUUUCGCUAUUGGCAAGCACAUUUCAUCAUGAUGUUCGGAACAUGAACGUGUGGGUGUAGGACUAACUCUUUUCACAAUUGAUUACUCGACUGCCAAUGAUUCAAAGAACUCUGCGCUUUCGCGCAAAUAUGGCGACAUCAUUCGAAUUAUAUGACGUGGCAUCAUUUCUCGGACACAAGCAGUUGCUUCUAGGAUUGGCCGAAAACGCCUAUUGGUCAAGUAAAUGACGUCACCAAUGACGAUCGCGUCGUACGAUUUUCUCGACUCUUCGCCUCCUUGUUCCUUUUUCGGUCUCGCCAGCCUCUCAGACACGAAGGAAGCAAAGAGAGAAGGAGCCCUAUUGCUCCGAGAAGUGAAACCGAGGUUGGGGACCACUCCAGUGACAUCACCGCUCCCCUUCCGGUUUCGGUUACAUAUACAUCUCUAUGGGUGCUGCCAAAGUAUAGUUUCGGAAUACUUUUAGAGGUGAGCGCGCCGAAGUGGCCCCCAAAAGUGACGUGUGCAAGCGAUCUCAUUGGGCUGGUCAGGUAACGUGACCCUCGCGUGGUUCCAAAGGAGCUACAGCUCAUCUCUUAUGCUCACGU